rnacentral:lncRNA from 1 species
UUGGCGUGUUGCUGCCAUUUUAGUGGGUAGAAUCUAUGCACGGCCGAGACCUCAGUCUAUCCACUGUAAGUCAUGCCUUUUGAUCAAUUGUUCGCAGUAGCUGAGAUAUUUUUCUACAUGCCCGUUUUGUUGCUCAAAUUCCUGCUUUCAUUUAGGUACGAGUGUUUAAUGAAUUUACUCUUCUCCAUGGCGCGUCCAUGAGGGCAGAAAUUUCAUGCUUCAAAUCUGCUUGGCGAGAAGUAAGUUAUCUGGUGAUUGCUUAUUAUAUGCUUGUAUUUUUACUGCUGAGCAUAGAAACUUAUUAUAUGCUUGUAUUUUUCAGCCUUUUCAGGCCUGGAGAUGUCCUUGUGAACUGGUCAGUGAUUUUCGGAAAGUGGAGCUGCAUUCAAGGUUUGAGAUAUAGUUUAUGUCGACUGGAUGAGUUGUUUGAUCUCUUUGCCCUGUUCUUCGAGAUGGGUUACGAUGAAAACUCUUGGGGCCAUGAGCAACACUUGAGGUUCCUCUUCAUAAGCACAAAAGCUGCAGCAAGCAGAAAUUGGAGAAGUAAACCUAAUAGUGUUCAUUAUGAGCUAAUCUGGACCAUGUACAGAGUCCGCCACAGUUCAAACAAAAUCUCUGUACUGAAGGUGGUGUGGCGUUGAAGCUGUCAUGUCCUCGGCCAUGCCCGCCCAUUGAAAUCUCUGUUAUUUUCCUCUACUUGUAUUCCACCUUUUCGUUGCAAUUCAAUUUUUAGGAUCAGCAGUAUCUAUGCGAUUAAUUUCAAACUUCGCAGGAUCUUUCAACAUGUCAGUAACACUCUAAUAAGUAUUCAUCUUUAAUUUCCUACCCUAUAGUGGGCAACACAGUUUGUUCUAUGUGCAUGAACACUGAUAAAUUAAUUUGUGUUAGUAUGUAGUGGUUCAAGGAUGCUAAAAUUUUGUACUAUAAUCUGUUUCCAGGUGCUUGAAACUUGCUUUUUUGUCGACCUAUAUUGCAACUUCUGCUGUAAUCAGCAUAGAAUUAUAUUGCUGCAUUACGGCGCUUUCCAUUAGAACACACGACUUAUGUUGAUCAUGCAAUUGUGUUCUUUGUUUUUUCUGUUUUGUGCAGUUGAAGAGCUUUGUACAGAACCGGAGAUUAGGAGGAAUGGAAAUAUAAGAAACAAUUCAGGAAGAUUCUCUAGGGAAGCAAAAAUUGUUUCCUGGUCUGUGUAGGUCCAUUUAGGAAAUUAGAUGACUGUUGUAAUAUGAAUUUUACAUCCAUUCCAAGAAAAAGUGAUGUUUCUAUUUACAUCCAUUUUGGUGUGAUAAAUAUUGGUUCUGAACAUAUGCUUUCUCUUUCUAUGUGUUGCAACAUAUAAAUUGUGUGAAUUUUUUUGGGACAACUAUAAAAAGUCAAAAAUUA